rnacentral:rRNA from 1 species
GUUUUUCGCUCCAAGAUGAGCCCGCGUCAGAUUAGCUAGUUGGUGAGGUAAUGGCUCACCAAGGCGACGAUCUGUAACUGGUCUGAGAGGAUGAUCAGUCACACUGGAACUGAGACACGGUCCAGACUCCUACGGGAGGCAGCAGUAGGGAAUAUUGCACAAUGGAGGAAACUCUGAUGCAGCGACGCCGCGUGAGUGAUGAAGGACUUCGGUUCGUAAAGCUCUGUCGCAUGGGAAUAAUAAAGUG